CUGUGUUUGUUCCUCCAGUCAUUUGUCUUGAGAAAACAGCAAGGCAUAGAGCUACAUUACGCGCAAUUGUUGCAGGGAAGAAACCAAUAACAAGAUGACUAAAAUGGUGAUGGCUUACAUUGGGUUUCUUCUCCUUGCCAUGCAUUUUUCAUCACAGGUCCACGCUCAAAACACUACCACACAGUCCCCUGCCAUGAAUGCUACGACCAAAUCUGGCAGUGGGAGUUCCAACAUGACCAAGAUGCCCGACGUCACCAAGAACAACAACAUUGCCAAAGGAGCCAGUGCAUCCUUGCAGUCCAGCUCGGUUGCGCUCAUCAUACCCAUCAUGGUGGGGGGCUCUCUACAGGGGCGCUUCUAGAGGGCUGUUGCAGCAGUGAACCAACACCGGCAAGACUUUAACAUCCCCGGCCUAGAUGGGGUAAACUGUUUCACAAAGAUCACAUUUUUUAAAAAUAAAUAAUCAGGAAGGCAGUCAUGUGCGCUCCUAACCGAAGAGAUUCGGUGGAGUUGCGUGCAGGAGGAGAACCCAUUUCUACUUCACUGAUGGGAAUUGUUAUUUGCCCUUACACCUUCCGGCCGCUUCAAACCAGUAGGCCUUCACACCUCGCACACUGGCCCCAUGCCCAUAGGCUGAACUGUACGGUCCUCUCCAUGGAGGCAGUCCAUGAUGAGUAUGUACUGUACGGAACUCUGCUCUUUGAACCGUUUGGUCCCGCUGUUCCUGUGUAAACACCAGGGGGUAGUUUAGUAAUUUGUUAGGAAGUUAAAAUAUCUAAAGAAAUGUUGGGUGAGGCACUUUGAAAAUAAGGUAUAAAUGAAUCUGUGGCACAUGCACGAACAGUGGCAUUUCUGCACCUGCAGUGGGUACUUUGUCAGAGGCUUGAUGUACACUUGAUUCAUUUCUAGAAUAUGGAAUUGUAUGAGUUAGCAUAUGUGAUAUUUAAUUGUCUAAAUCAGUGAUGUGAUAUGCUCAGAUUUGUUUUUAAGGCCAGGUUCAAUAAACCUUUGAAAUGUAGGAUACUUGUGACAAUUUUCUUGUAUAAUAAAAAUACUAUAACAUAA